CGGCAACAGCUCAAAUUUGAAAUCUGGCCCCUCGGGGUCCGAGUUGUAAUUUGUAGAGGAUGCUUUUGGUGAGGUGCCGCCCGAGUUCCCUGGAACGGGACGCCACAGAGGGUGAGAGCCCCGU
rnacentral:rRNA from 2 species